AUCUAAUAGUGUUUCUUGUUUUAGCAGUGGGUUUAUUUUCAGACUUUAAUCUCUGGCUGCUGCAAAUGUUCCUGUACAGAAAGCUGCGCACAGCAGGUUGUGUCUCAUGCCAAAGACAGCAGCAGGCUGACACAGAGCGAUGAAGAUGCUGUUACACUGUUAGCCUGAAAAAAAGAUUCUGAUUAGACUCAUUGACACGAUUGAUUCUGCAAAAGUAUGUAAGUAUCUGAUAUCGGAGAAAGUAAUCUGUUUGGUUGAAACUGUGACAGACUGAAAGAAUCUAUUUAGUUUUAAUGCAUUUGUGAAAUGCAGCAUGUUAGCGACUCGGGUCCAGGACUUUUUAAAGCAAUAGGCAGGAUCAAGAAAAAUAUCUGGUUCUUCUUCUUUGUACUGUAUUAUCGUUUGGCUUCUUCUUUUUAUUUACUGUUAAAUGGAAACAGAGAGUGGUGGGAGACGUUUUAAAACAAUACCUGUCAGAACAGCUGUUUGAACUUUGCAGACAUGAUUUCUCGCAGAUGCUAAUCUAAAUGUUAGGGUGCCUGGGUCGUCGACCCAUAGUUUUCAGUUUUACAUUAUUAUUGAACGUUGAUUUUGUCUCUGUGUUCCAUGGUUGCUCUGUCUCCCCUGUCAGCUGUAUCCCCUUGUCAAGUCCGCAUGCCUGUGUUAUGUUUCUUUUUUUACUUUGAAAGUCUCUGUCUCUUGUUAAUGUAUCUGGUUUUGCUUCCCUCGUCUUGUUAGCCCUGAUUUGUUCCAGCUGUGUUUCCCUCCUGUCUCCCAUUCCCCGAUCACUCCCUCUGUGCAUUUAAGCCCUGGGUUUUCUUCGGUCUGUGUUGUGAUCUCCCUCAUCUUACGCUGUGUGUUCUGCCUGCCUGCCUGCCUGCCUGCCUGCCUAAAUUGAUUUUGGAUUUUCAGUUUUACUUUUGAGUUCACAUUUUGCCUCAGAGUGUCUGCAACUUUGGGUCCUCCAUACUGCCUGCCUGCACACAGCCACGUGACACUAAAAAGUGAUAACUGCACCUGUUCCACUGCGUGUGUCAUUAAACCAAAUCUGUCUCCUCUCUAUCAUGAAGAUAGAGACUAAGAAAUUUCAGAAUCACUCUUAAAAAUGUCAUAUUUUAUUAUUCCUGUUCAGGAACCUAUAUAUAACCAAAAACUGACUAAUAAUCCUGACUAAUGAUCAAGUUAUAUCCACUUAGAGGCCAAAACAUUCUGGUGACCCCUCAACACUAUUCUUAAAGAGUUUUGACCAGUACUCAAACAAGAAGUAAUGGUAACCUCGUGUUUUGGAGGAAAAUAAACGUAAUUCUUCGUUGGAACAAAUGUAAAUGAUUUUCAUGUGCUUCCCUCUGUCAAGAAAUAAAAUACUGUGGUGUCCUAAAAAUUGAAUGUUUGAUCAUGUGUAACAUCUUUUCCUUGCUCAGUAAUUUCUAUCAAAAUGAUUUUCACUAGCAAAAUGAAUUCUGUUGCAAAGGAUUAUUGUGCCCUCCGCCAUUGACUGAAGCCAGGUGCGGCUCGCAUACCGCAUGGCAAAUCACUUUAGAUGCUAUCUGACUCACAGAUCGCCCAACCACCCUGAUGCCUGCUGAGGACUCGAGAGGUCACGCUCUGAGCUCACAGCUCAAAUAUCACGUAGCAACAAAGUCUUAAGGCUUCUGUCUUCUCCUCUCUGUAUGUAACCAAUAAAUCCUCACUUCAUUCAGACGUCAGAGCCGGGCCCGUCUAACCUCUCAAGCGAACACGCUUCAUCCCGAGUUAAGACAGAUCGUUUGGGUUUGAAAUAAAUGUGAGAUGUACAGCAAAGCCAACCAGUCAGAACAUUUUGAUUAACAUGUGUUCAUUUUCAUUGCCAGAUCGCAUGUGGAAGUAAUUAUGUCCCAUUCAUGCCACAUUAGAUUCACUGAAAAGAGUUUUAAAUAUAUCAUUGACUACACAUUAACGGUGAACUCACAUUAAUGAGCCUUACUUGAAAAAGCUGAGCAAUAACAUCUGUGCUUCAUCUGAUAGAAAUGCAGAUUCAGCAAGUGAGCCAUUAUAAGAAGUAAGAAGUGGCACAUUUAAAGUUGUUAAACCUUCACUGAGAUUUCUGUUGUUUCUUUAUUGAGGUGAACGCUUUAUUAGAAGCCAUCUAUUCAUUUAUCAACAGUUAAUUAUGCUUCACUAAAGUUAAUAAAUCUAUUAAUACUUUCACUUUUAACUACUAUUAGGAUUCAACUGUAGGCAAGUUAACAGUUUGUUAUACUUUUGCAGAUGCAGAUACACUAAAACAAGCACAAUUUCUUAUUGAGUUUAAGAAAUCCAUGUUAUCAAACACUUAUUCAUGAUUAACUAUCCUUUUUUCAUCUAUUGGAUCUGAAGCAUAAAGAAAACCACAUCAGGAUUAUUGAAUGUAUUAUUAUAAACAAUGACUAACUGUGCAUUUUAAAUAUGCAUGUUAUCAAAGUUGAUAAAUUGUGAAUCAUACAAAAAGAGUAUUUUAUGUGAAGCACAAAAAAAGUAAGCUCUUUUUUUCUUUUUUCCUUUCUAGCAUUAAUAAUAAUAAUAUUGGAUUGCAUUUAUGUGGCGCUUUUCAAGGAACCCAAAGGGCUUUUUACAAUGCCACUAUUCAUUCACUCUCACAUUCACACACUGGUGGAGGCAGCUACAGUUGUAGCCACAGCUGCCCUGGGGCAGACUGACAGAAGCGAGGCUGCCAUAUCGCGCCAUCGGCCCCUCUGGCCAACACCAGUAGGCGGUAGGUGAAGCGUCUUGCCCAAGGACACAACAACCAGGACAACAGAUAGAGCUGGGGAUCGAACCGGCAACCUUCCAGUUACAAGAUGUGACCUCUGACCUCCCAACCAUGAACUGAUGCACAGAUUUGGUGCAUUAAAUAAAAAAUUUAAGUCAAGAAUUUCAGUUUAAUUACUUUGUUACCACAUAACUUGUAACCACAGGCAAUUGUGAUACAUUAAUAAGAGAAUGUAGCCUUUAAAAUAAUUAUAAUAAAGCUUUUAACACUGACAGUGACAGAAUGAUUAUAUAUAAUGUAUGAAAGAUUAUUAUUAUUAAACUUACUUCGAUAUUUUCAGUAACAUUAUUGGCAGAGAGGAGACUCCCCACAAACAGCCCUGCAAAGUCUGUGUUCAGUACAAAGGACCAAAAAGAAAGGAUGGCAUGGCGCCAGUAGUUAUGUUGAGCAUUACUAAAGUACUAAUUGAAAAAAAGGUGUCAUCCUCUCAUCACAAUGAGCACGUUGAGUAACCUAAAUUAAGCACACCACUCAUGACCCACAAGUGCAUGCUAAUCUAGUUAGCAUGCUUGUGGUGGAUCCUGGUUAUAUAUGAAUGUGCAAAUAAGAUGAGCCUGGUGGUGGACUGAGGACACUCAAAGAGCCGAGUACCACAACACACUCAGGCCCAAUUCCAAUAUGGCCUAUACGCCGCUUUACUCCCUGUGCAGGUACGCUUGCUGUUGUGGAGGGUCUCUUAAGCCCCUUUGAUACUCAACAAAAAAAGGCCACCAGCACAUGCUAACAUCGCUAGGCUUUUGCCUCAGUAGUGGGAAAGGGUACAGUCAUUGUUCAUUCCCAGGUUAAAUGACUCAGUGACUUCACCUGUCACUGGCUCCAGUGCCAAUUUGCAAUGAUGUAAGCAUGAAAACAAAGUAGAUAUGGUCAUUUUUAUCAUGUUUCCAGUACAGUAAGUGGUAAGCUACAGUAUAUAAAAUCAAAGUGAAUGAAAGGAGUCAGUGGCCUUCUUUCAAAACUGAUCUGUCCUGGUCAUGGUGUCAACAAAUGUGUCAAAAGAAUUUGGGUCAGCUCUUUGUUCAAAUCUUUAUUCAUAAUGCACUUUUCCACAAAGAGGGGUCAAACUGUUUUUUUAAGAUUCAUAUAAAACAUAUCAGCACAAUAAAAUUCCAUUUAUCCAUCCACCCCUGCUCCUCAUCUGAGCCCAGGCUGUGAGGUAUCAGUCCAACCGUUACUAUACCUCCUUCUCCCCAGCUCUUCUGUGGGAAUGCUGAAGGCAGCCAAGAGCCUCAAUCUCUCCAAGGAUGUCUGCUCUGAGGUGGACGUACCAGAAACACAUUACCUCAGUAGCUUGCAGGACGCUUCCUUAAUAAAUGCCGAACCACCUCAGCUGGCUCUUUUCAUUGGAGUAGCAGCGACUCUACACUCAGCCUUUCCCUGGCACACAAUAAAACUGCUGAAUUUUUUGUUGUUGUAUUUUUAUGUGUUAAACCUGGAAGCUAACAUUUGUUAUCUAUAGCAGUUAGUCUGGCCUUGAGAAAAGGAAGUCCAGAAAUCUAGAGGGUUUUAAACAACUAAUGUCUUUGUUUUGUUUUGUUUUCCCCUGAUGCUGUCUUUCUGUCCUUAAAAAAUGUCAUUCAUGACAUUUUAAACAUGUGACAACUUUCAGUAAGGGGAAAUGAAGGCACCUGUGGGAGUAUCUAACGCUGUCUGAUGGCCAGUGAUUUUACUGGCGGCAACUGCAUCUCAUUUGGGGAUAAACCUGACAGUGUGUAGGAGGCUCACACACUCAUUCCUACAGCCACUGGAGUGGAAAACAACACAACACAAAGAUCUGUUUUUGGGCUUUUCCCUCCUUCCCUGUUAUCCUCACCUGCAUCUCACAGCUUGUUUCGUAGGUUUCUUUUUUUGGCAUAAAAUGAACGAGAUGAGAAAAACAGAAUUCAGUUCAGUGAAUCAAAGAAGAACAACAACAAAAUGAAAGACAACACAUAAUUGAUGUUGUAGUACAAAAACCCCACCAUCAGGCACUUUCUAUGAAAGUUUUGAGUGGUUUUUUUUUUUUGAUUAGUCAGUUCUCAUUGCUGCUGUUUUUCUAACAGAUAAACGUGAACUAUCUCCACAAAGAUAUUUUUACAGAAGUGCACGAUUCUGUCUGAGAAAUGCUUCUCCAUUUUUGAUAUCUGUGUUUUUAUUUAAUGUAUAAGCUCAUGGUGAGGAUUUUGUUUCUGUACAUGUAUCUGACUAAAAUAGGAAAAUACCAUUUAAUAUAAAAAAAAAACCCCAGAAUAUUUGAUAAAGUUUUGCAUUUUGAUGUGAAAUAUCUCAUGUAAUAUGCUUCUGUAAGUAGCUCUUGGAUGAUGAUGAUGAACAGUUCCUAAAUAACUUGCUUGUUCUUGGUGAAAUAGUGUAUUUAUAAACAGUGAAUUUGUCAUUAAUGAAGUAUAAAUGUGGUAACACUACUCACAUACAGGGAGUGCAGAAUUAUUAGGCAAAUGAGUAUUUUGUCCACAUCAUCCUCUUCAUGCAUGUUGUCUUACUCCAAGCUGUAUAGGCUC
ensembl:lncRNA